rnacentral:rRNA from 1 species
UACGUAGGGAGCGAGCGUUGUCCGGAUUUACUGGGUGUAAAGGGUGCGUAGGCGGCUCUGCAAGUCAGGCGUGAAAUACAUGGGCUUAACCCAUGGACUGCGUUUGAAACUGUGGAGCUUGAGUGAAGUAGAGGUAGGCGGAAUUCCCGGUGUAGCGGUGAAAUGCGUAGAGAUCGGGAGGAACACCAGUGGCGAAGGCGGCCUACUGGGCUUUAACUGACGCUGAAGCACGAAAGCAUGGGUAGCAAACAGG